ACGCACGCUGGCGGCGUGCCUAAUACAUGCAAGUUGAGCGCUGAAGGUUGGUACUUGUACCAACUGGAUGAGCAGCGAACGGGUGAGUAACGCGUGGGGAAUCUGCCUUUGAGCGGGGGACAACAUUUGGAAACGAAUGCUAAUACCGCAUAAAAACUUUAAACACAAGUUUUAAGUUUGAAAGAUGCAAUUGCAUCACUCAAAGAUGAUCCCGUGUUGUAUUAGCUAGUUGGUGAGGUAAAGGCUCACCAAGGCGAUGAUACAUAGCCGACCUGAGAGGGUGAUCGGCCACAUUGGGACUGAGACACGGCCCAAACUCCUACGGGAGGCAGCAGUAGGGAAUCUUCGGCAAUGGACGAAAGUCUGACCGAGCAACGCCGCGUGAGUGAAGAAGGUUUUCGGAUCGUAAAACUCUGUUGGUAGAGAAGAACGUUGGUGAGAGUGGAAAGCUCAUCAAGUGACGGUAACUACCCAGAAAGGGACGGCUAACUACGUG
rnacentral:rRNA from 1 species